rfam:Triticum aestivum genome assembly, contig: Triticum_aestivum_CS42_TGACv1_scaffold_577630_7BL
GUUGUACUCCCUCCGUUCGGAAUUACUUGUCUCGGAAAUGAUUGUAUCUAGAACUAAAAUACGUCUAGAUACAACCAUUUUCACGACAAGUAAUUCCGAACAAAGGGAGUAGAAU